GACGAACGCUGGCGGCGUGCUUAAAACAUGCAAGUCGAACGAAGAGGCGAACGGGUGAGUAACGCGUAAUCAACCUGCCCUUCAGAGGGGGACAACAGUUGGAAACGACUGCUAAUACCGCAUACUGAAGGAGGGGAUUGCGUCUGAUUCGCUAGUUGGAGGGGUAACGGCCCACCAAGGCGAUGAGCAGUAGACGGUCUGAGAGGAUGAACGGGCAAAUUGGGACCGUGAAACGGCCCAGAUUCCUACGGGAGGCAGCAGGGGGGAAUCUUUCGACAUGGACGAAAGUCUGAAGGAGAAACGCCGCGUGAGUGAUGACGGCCUUCGGGUUGUAAAGCUCUGUUAAUCGGGACGCGGUACCGGAAUAGAAAGCCACGGCUAACUACGUGCCAGCAGCCGCGGUAAUUC
rnacentral:rRNA from 1 species